UCAACCAUCAAGCCUGGCUUGUCGUUGGACCCCUUUGCGGCUGAAAUACGCGGCAGAUCCAAAAGAUAAUGACGGCGUCGUGUUUGACCCUAGAUGCAACGAGCUUUUUAAUAGCACGCAUUGAAGUGGUCGGCCGACCCGGUCUUUAACCAUCAUUUUCUAA
rnacentral:misc_RNA from 1 species